UACGAAGGGGGCUAGCGUUGUUCGGAUUUACUGGGCGUAAAGCGCACGUAGGCGGAUCGAUCAGUCAGGGGUGAAAUCCCAGAGCUCAACUCUGGAACUGCCUUUGAUACUGUCGAUCUUGAGUAUGGAAGAGGUGAGUUGAAUUCCCAGUGUAGAGGUGAAAUUCGUAGAUAUUGGGAAGAACACCAGUGGCGAAGGCGGCUCACUGGUCCGAUACUGACGCUGAGGUGCGAAAGCGUGGGGAGCAAACAGG
rnacentral:rRNA from 1 species